rnacentral:miRNA from 1 species
UUUCCAUAUUAGGGUUUGAACUUU